UACAGAGGUCUCAAGCGUUGUUCGGAUUUAUUGGGCGUAAAGGGCGCGUAGGCGGCGGGGUAAGUCGGGUGUGAAAUCUCAGGGCUCAACCCUGAAACUGCACUUGAUACUGCUCUGCUUGAGGACUGGAGAGGUGACUGGAAUUCACGGUGUAGCAGUGAAAUGCGUAGAUAUCGUGAGGAAGACCAGUGGCGAAGGCGGGUCUCUGGACAGUCCCUGACGCUGAGGCACGAAGGUCAGGGGAGCAAACGGG
rnacentral:rRNA from 1 species